AAUCUAUAUCAAUCCACACUUGUGAAUCAAUUUGUCGGCCACCGGUAAAACGGUUGAGGAUUGUAAGAUGGAAACGUCAUACAGUUACUCAGGCGUUGGCGUGCAUGCAUAUGCACGACGGCGUCGGUCUUUUACUAACCAAUCAACACCAAACCAACUAAAAUUAAAAAAAGAGGGCCCAGCUUAGAGCUGUGACCCUCACCAACCAAGACAACUCUCAACAACGGAUAUCUUGGCUCUCAGAUCGAUGAAGAACGCAGCGAAAUGCGAUUCGUAGUGUGAAUUGCAGAAAUACGUGAAUCAUCGAAUUUUUGAACGCAAAUUGCGCUCGAGGCUUCGGCCAAGAGCAUGUCUGCCUCAGCGUCGGGUUAAUACUCACUCUGUCUUACACAUGGAGUGGAUCUGGCUUUCUCGGAUAAUUAAGAAUUGUCCGGGUUAGCUGAAGUAUACAGAUGUCAAACCGUGGACCGUAUAACGGGCCUCUACUGGGUAGGCAGUAAAAUGCUAAAUGCUUUAGUGGAUGGCUUCGGGUACUGUGUUUGGCUUAAACCAGGAGUAUGACUAAUGUCGUACAUAAACCCCUCAUUUUCGACCUGAGCUCAGGCAAGA
rnacentral:sRNA from 1 species